AGAUUGAACGCUGGCGGCAUGCCUUACACAUGCAAGUCGAACGGCAGCACGGGAGCAAUCCUGGUGGCGAGUGGCGAACGGGUGAGUAAUACAUCGGAACGUGCCCAAUCGUGGGGGAUAACGCAGCGAAAGCUGUGCUAAUACCGCAUAAGAUCUACGGAUGAAAGCAGGGGAUCGCAAGACCUUGCGCGAAUGGAGCGGCCGAUGGCAGAUUAGGUAGUUGGUGAGGUAAAGGCUCACCAAGCCUUCGAUCUGUAGCUGGUCUGAGAGGACGACCAGCCACACUGGGACUGAGACGCGGCCCAGACUCCUACGGGAGGCAGCAGUAGGGAAUAUUGGACAAUGGGCGCAAGCCUGAUCCAGCCAUGCCGCGUGUGUGAAGAAGGGCCUUACGGGUUGUAAAG
rnacentral:rRNA from 1 species